GAUGAACGCUGGCGGCGUGCCUAAUACAUGCAAGUCGAGCGAACAGACGAGGAGCUUGCUCCUCUGACGUUAGCGGCGGACGGGUGAGUAACACGUGGAUAACCUACCUAUAAGACUGGGAUAACUUCGGGAAACCGGAGCUAAUACCGGAUAAUAUAUUGAACCGCAUGGUUCAAUAGUGAAAGACGGUUUUGCUGUCACUUAUAGAUGGAUCCGCGCCGCAUUAGCUAGUUGGUAAGGUAACGGCUUACCAAGGCAACGAUGCGUAGCCGACCUGAGAGGGGGAUCGGCCACACUGGAACUGAGACACGGUCCAGACUCCGACGGGAGGCAGCAGUAGGGAAGCUUGCGCAAUGGGCGAAAGCCUGACGGAGCAACGCCGCGUGGGUGAUGAAGGUCUUCGGAUCGUAAAACUCUGUUAUUAGGGAAGAACAAAUGUGUAAGUAACUAUGCACGUCUUGACGGUACCUAAGCAGAAAGCCACGGCUAACUACGU
rnacentral:rRNA from 1 species